rnacentral:tRNA from 1 species
AAAGGGAGACCUAAUUCAGGUAUAAGACGAAAAAAAAGUAGUCCCUACCAAGAAUCAAUCCCAAAAGGUCGGAACGAGGUAUGAGGCUUUCAAACUAGGUUCUGGGUUCAUAAAAGACCUGAAUCAGGAACAAGGGCUAUUAGCUCAGGUGGUUAGAGCGCACCCCUGACAAGGGUGAGGUCCCUGGUUCGAGUCCGGGAUGGCCCACCUGCACAGGUGGCAAAAACAAGAGAAGCGAGGAAUCAGCACCUUAUCUUAUAUACAUAUAUAAGAGAGAAUGCUGGCUCUGAGUACAGAGUCCAGAGGAACCUUGAAAACUGCAUAGAGCUAGGUGAAAAAGCCAAAAAAGAAGACCGCAAG